GUUGGCAUUCGAUACGAGAAUUGUGUUUGUUUUGAAUACAACUUACACUUUCUUAUCGAAUGCCCGUGGGUCAACGUUGCCAUCCCCUUACGCCGCACGUUGUCACGUCUUAGUUUAGUUGUGAUCGCAGGUAACAUGCCUGUUGCAAUUCACACACAAGGUCGCGUGUCAUCGGCGGGCCGCUUUGCGCAUAUAUUGCUUUUACCUGCGGGGUUCAUGGCAUUGCUUGCGCUAUCGAUGGAUUGCAGCUAGUUUCGUGCAGGUCGCUGGCGUAUCUGGACGUAUUUCCCGCGACUCGUAUCGUUUUAUCGGAUUAUUUUAUUUUCUAAAUUUGCAUUGUAUUCGGUCAUCAAUUGACUAUUUAGUUGUAACAUGCUUCUGCAGUGUUUUGUUAAUGGUUAAUCGUGCGUUUAAUAUCCAUAAUUUUUAUAUGUUUGCGUUUGAUGUUUAUAUCCCAAAUGCAUAUUGUUGCCAUGAUGUUUCCCGUCAUUAGGAGGUCCCCUCGUACUUGAUACUUGCUGUGCUGCCCUACCAAUCCAAUGAGCACUGCAUUGCUGUAGAAGUUGAACGGGAACACGCAGGAGGGCCAUUUUUGCAUCAAAUUGGCUGUAGAAAUUGAACGGGAACUCGUAGGAGGGUCAUUUUUGCAUCAAAUUAUAAGGCUGUAGAAAUUGAACGGGAACUCGCAGGAGGGUCAUUUUUACAUCAAAUUAAAUUGAACGGGAACUCGCAGGAGGGUCAUUUUUACAUCAAAUUGGCUGUAGAAAUUGAAAGGGAACUCGCAGCAGGGUCAUUAUUGCAUGAAAGUGGCUGGUGAAAUUAAACGGGAACUUAAAAGAAGGUCAUUUUUGUAUCAAAUUGGCAAUAGACAUUGAACGGGAACUCGCAGGAGGGCCAAUUUGCAUCAAACUGACUUUUGAACCGAGUCUGACACUGUCGACGGACCAUUCUUGCAUCAGAUUGGAUUUUGCACUUGAGUCUGACACCGUAGAAGGACCAUUCUUGCAUCGGAUUGUAAGUAUUUAAUUUCUUUAUCAUUUUCAUAUAUAGCUUUUAUGAAUAACCUAUUAAAUUGCGAGAAAAAUAUACUUUUUGUGUUUCGAAGCACUGAUUUUGCUGGUUUUCGAGGUUUAGCACAUGAACGUGUCAUCUGCGUAAUAUCAGCGAGGUCCAUAAAGAUGUAAAAUUUAAUUCUUGAUGAUGUUAUAUUCUAAUGUCGUAGGAGAUGUACGUGUAGAACGUGUGUUGUUAGAUAAAUUGUAUGUUUCGUACGUUGUUAUGUCGAUAAUUUGUACCUGUUUGUUUACAACAUGUUUACAUUUAGUCAUUUUGAAUAGUUUUUGGGGUAUAUAUAAUAUGGAUUGUGUUUUAUUAAUUUUCGUUCAAGUGAGUGAAAUUGAAAUACCAAGAUGAGGUGAUAGCGGGAUAUUCCACAGUUUGUUUAUACGUGCGGUUCGACGUUGGCUUGCGCAGCACGCUGUGCGCUGCAAUUUGAAAUUUGAACAGUACCCCACCGGUCGCCGUGUGUCGUCGGGUUCAAGUGUUCGCUACUGCUCAGUACAUCUUGCGCUGGCGUAUUGACUGCUGUUUUUCCUGUUCAAUCAGUCGGUGAUACGCAAUUGUGCUAUGUGCUCGUGUUCCAUUUCUUCUCCGCUACUGUUCGUUGCGACUGUUAGUAUUUCGGACUCGAAACUUAAGACACCACGUGCGCGUGUGUAGGCCAUCAGUCGCCGGUCUUCGGAUCUCUUGCGUUGGGCUACGGAUUCCAAUUGGAUUUAUAGGCCAAUAUGGUAUUGUUAAUUAGAAGGGAUAAAUCACGCGUUUUCUCCGCGUGGCAUAGUUGUAAGUGCAAAAGUUAUACAGUGAGUAGUAACAUCAAUUCUACUAACAAUUCUGCUUUGUGUGUAACAUUUCAUAAGAGAGCGUUGUGGCUCGUUGGUAUGUAGGAUAUGCCGUUCGUUUUAUUAAAAAAGAAAGAAGAAUGUAUUGUUAAAUAUAAUUAAUAAAACUAAAUUUACAAUUGAAA